rnacentral:lncRNA from 1 species
CGUUUACCUUAUUUGUUAUCAGUCCGUAGGAUGCAUCAUCUCAUAGAAAUAGACUUGUCCAAAUGUGGACAGGGUGAAGGCAUCAAAUUAAAGAACUGAAUAUUAACAAAUCAUUAGGAAUUUUCUUGUUUUUAUAGGUAAUAAAAAAAAAUGUCGUUCAUUUGGAUAAAAAAACGGGAAUGCAAGACAACAGAUUAACCCGAUAUCGUUUUUCCAGUGGACGAUUCUAUUAGGUUUUUGACACGUGUGUUGAAACUUAUUUUCGUACGACGUUUAUGCAUUUUUUUCUUUAUCAGUUUUCGUGCUUGAAGAUCAUUAUUUACAAAGUUUUCUGGAAUUGAUUAAGAGCUACGCGAAUCUAUUUUUCUUGUUUCUGAAAUGAUGAUUUAAUUUCGUCUUUGUCCGUGCAUCCCCUUUUUUUUUUACUGUAAAUUACUAGACAAUGUCAUGCGUAGUUUAUAACAGCUGAGCAAUAAUAUUUCAUCAAACUAAAAUUUUAGAAAUGAUGAUAAAAUAGCAUAACAAACAUAUUGCUAGAAAGGUGAAAUAUAUAUUGAUUUUCCAUAUUUUUUUGUCUUCAAAGAUGAUUUUUUUUCUUUUUUUAUCCCGACCGACCGACCCGACUUUUUCAUGGGGAAAAUCCGUAAACCAACAAAUUAAAAAACCGUGGCCUUAUAU